CAGGGCAAAACAUGGGCAAUAGGGUGAGCAUUUUUAAUUGUCUUUUUCCGCUGGAACCUUAUAUAUCUCCAUGUGUUUUCUGCUCAUUCCCUCCCCCAUGAAAUGCAUUGUCUUCUGUGUUAAGAAAUGUGGACUCCUGUGAGGUGCUGGAGGUUUGAAUCAUCUUGAAAACUUUUCCAGUCUUGUCUAGUUACCACUGCAGAGACACUAAGGAAUUUACCAGAAAAAGAUAUUUGAUACAAAUGAUUUAAGAAAUCUCAACAUUUCCUGAGGCCAUAUCACUGGGCAACCAGUGAUGAAAACUAUGAAUGAAUUGCACACCUGGAAGAUUUUUUAAGCUAAUGACAGUUUCUUCAAAGAUGUCAAUUAUUUGCCUUGGAAAUUUUAUAAAUUGCAUUUCUAUGCACAUCUGCCCCUAGUGCUUACCACUUGGUUUAUUAUUCAUAAUCUGCAAUUCAAUAAAGGCUUUGUGCUUUCAUUUAUCUUCAAAA